UCGCACUCUGACUUUAGUUUAAGUGAAUGGAUCUCUAUGAAAUUUAACCAUAAGGUUCAAUACCACAAAAGGAAGGUGGGGAUUGAUUUUGGGGGUUAUGGUACCAACAGUUAAGGAAUUAGGGGCCAAAAAGGGGCCAAAAAUAAGCAUUUUUGUAACUUCCAGACAUAACUUGUGUGUAAGUGUAUGGCUCUCUCUGACAUUGUACCACAAGGUUCCAUAUCACAAAGGGAAUGCUGGGAUUGAUUUUGGGGGUAAUUGCCUCCAAAUUUUAAGAAUUAGGGGCCAAAAAGGGGCAAAAAACAAGCAUUUUUCUAGUUUCAUGACAAUAACUUGUGUGUAAGUGUAUGGAUCUCUCUGACAUUGUAUCACAAGGUUCCAUAUCACAAAGGGAAUGCUGGAAUUGAGUUUGGGGGUAAUUGCCUCCAAAUUUUAGAAAUUAGGGGCCAAAAAGGGGCAAAAAACAAGCAUUUUUCUAGUUUCAUGACAAUAACUUGUGUGUAAGUGUAUGGAUCUCUCUGACAUUGUACCACAAGGUUCCAUAUCACAAAGGGAAGGCUGGAAUUGAUUUUGGGGGUAAUUGCCUCAAAAUUUUAGGAAUUAGAGGCCAAAAAAGGGGCAAAAAAAAAAGCAUUUUUCUAUUUUCAUGACAAUAACUUGUGUGUAAGUGUUUGGAUAUUUCUGAAAUUGUACUACAAGGUUCCAUAUCACAAAGGGAAAGCUGGAAUUGAGAUUGGGGGUAAUUGCCCGAAACGUUUAGGAAUUGGGGGCCAAAAAUUAGCAUUUUUCUAUUUUCCAGACAAUAACUUGUGUUCAAGUGUAUGGAUCCCUCUGAAAUUGUACUGCAAGGUACCGUACCACAAAGGGAAGGCUGGGAUUGAUGAUGGGGGUAAUUGCCUCAAUAUUUUAGGAAUUAGGGGACAAAAAGGGGCAAAAAACAAGCAUUUUUCUAGUUUCAUGACAAUAACUUGUGUGUAAGUGUAUGGAUCUUUAUGAAAUUGUACUACAAGGUUUCAUAUCACAAAGGGAAAGCUGGAAUUGAGUUUGGGGGUAAUUGCCCAAAAUGUUUAGGAAUAAGGGGCCAAAAGGGGUAAAAAAUAAGCAUUUUUCUAGUUUCCAGACAAUAACUUGUGUUCAAGUGUAUGGAUCUCUCUGACAUUGUUCCACAAGGUUCCAUAUCACAAAGGGAAUGCUGGGAUUGAUUUUGAGGGUAAUUGCCUCCAAAUUUUAGGAAUAAGGGGCCAAAAAAGGGGCAAAAAACAAGCAUUUUUCUAGUUUCAUGACAAUAACUUGUGUGUAAGUGUAUGGAUCUUUCUGAAAUUGUACUACAAGGUUCCAUAUCACAAAGGGAAAGCUGGAAUUGAGUUUGGGGGUAAUUGCCCAAAACGUUUAGGAAUAAGGGGCUAAAAUAAGCAUUUUUCUAGUUUUCAGACAAUAAUUUGUGUGUAAGUGUAUGGAUCUUUCUGAAAUUGUACUACAAGGUUUCAUAUCACAAAGGGAAAGCUGGAAUUGAGUUUGGGGGUAAUUGCCCAAAAUGUUUAGGAAUAAGGGGCCAAAAGGGGUCAAAAAUAAGCAUUUUUCUAGUUUCCAGACAAUAACUUGUGUUCAAGUGUAUGGAUCUCUCUGAAAUUGUACUGCGAGGUACCAUACCACAAAGGGAAGGCUGGGAUUGAUUUUGGGGGUAAUUGCCUUAAAAUUUUAGGAAUUAGGGGCAAAAAAACAAGCAUUUUUCUAGUUUCAGGACAAUAACUUGUGUGUAAGUGUAUGGAUCUUUAUGAAAUUGUACUACAAGGUACCAUACCACAAAGGGAAGGCUGGGAUUGAGUUUGGUUGUGAUGAAUCAU